rnacentral:rRNA from 1 species
CCCUUAGAUGUUCUGGGCUGCACGCGCGCUACACUGAUGCGUUCAACGAGUUUAUGACCUUGCCCGAUAGGGUUGGGUAAUCUUUUUAAAUCGCAUCGUGAUGGGGAUAGAUUAUUGCAAUUAUUAAUCUUCAACGAGGAAUUCCUAGUAAGCGCGAGUCAUCAGCUCGUGCUGAUUACGUCCCUGCCCUUUGUACACACCGCCCGUCGCUCCUACCGAUUGAGUGAUUUAGUGAGGACUUCGGACUGGGACCGAUGCGGCUUUCGGGCUGCGUCGGUAUUCUGGAAAGAUGUCCAAACUGUAUCAUUUAGAGGAAGUAAAAGUCGUAACA